ACGGGAGGCAGCAGCUAAGAAUAUUCCGCAAUGGGGGAAACCCUGACGGAGCGACGCCGCGUGGAUGAUGAAGGCCGGAAGGUUGUAAAAUCCUUUUGAAACUGAGGAAUAAGUGCUGGAGGGAAUGCCAGCAUGGUGACUGUAGGUUUUGAAUAAGCACCGGCUAAUUACGUGCCAGCAGCCGCGGUAACACGUAAGGUGCAAGCGUUGUUCGGAAUUAUUGGGCGUAAAGGGCAUGUAGGCGGAUCGCUAAGCUUGGUGUGAAAGCCUGGAGCUUAACUCCAGAAUUGCAUUGAGAACUGGUGAACUUGAAUCGCUGAGGGGAAGCCGGAAUUCCAAGUGUAGGGGUGAAAUCUGUAGAUAUUUGGAAGAACACCAAUGGCGAAGGCAGGCUUCUAGCAGAUGAUUGACGCUGAGGUGCGAAGGUGCGGGGAGCAAACAGGAUUAGAUACCCUGGUA
rnacentral:rRNA from 1 species